UUCCUUCUGCCUGAUAUGAGUUCGAAGAGCAUCAUGCCAUAGCUGAAGACAUCUGCCUUAGGAGUAAUCGGCACACCACUGAUCCACUCAGGCGCAAGGUAACCCCUUGUCCCUCUCAUUGUUGUCAAAACACGGCUGAAAUCCCGCCCUAAGAGCUUUGCUAGACCAAAGUCAGACACUUUGGGUACAAAUGACUCAUCCAAAAGUAUGUUAUCUGGCUUAACAUCACAGUGUAUUAUGCAAUCCCUACAUUUUUCAUGCAGGUAAUUUAGGCCCCUUGCUGUUCCAAGUGCAAUUUGAUACCUUAUGGCCCAGUUCAGUGCCGUUGUCUCACCAUGGAACAGCUGCAAUUCCAGGGAGCCCUUUGGCAUGUACUCAUAGACAAGCAGUCUUCUUGAUCCUUCAGAGCAGAAACCAAGUAGGCGAACCAGAU
rnacentral:lncRNA from 1 species